rnacentral:lncRNA from 1 species
AUGCACCCUUGGCCUUCGUGGGAUCUCGCGAGGCUGCUUCUCGUUGCGCCCGUGGCUUCCCGGCAGGUCCUGUGUGCUUCUGCCGUGAUUGAGGGAGGAGGAGGAGGAAGGGCAGGAACCGAGAGCGUACAGGCCGUCUGCAGCGGAAGCCACCGAGCCAGUGCGUCACUUCCUGCCCAGACGCGUGACCCGGUGCCGGGCUUUUCUCGCCUCCCUCUGUGGUCCAAGGCGGGGAAGAGCCUGGGCCCCAGAUUCCCCAGAGCGAGAGGCGGAGCUGGGCCGUGGAAGCCACGCCUGGGCCUCCCCCGCCCCGUGCUGACCGGCUCACCGCGCUGGCAACGCGCAGGACCCGCCCAGAGCUCCUGCCGGCCCCACCGCGCCCAGUCACGGUGGGUGUUGUCCGUGUGUGUGUGCACACGUGUGUGCACGGUGUGUGAGGGCAGGUGGGCCGUUCCACUUCGAUGCACCAAACUCAAGUGCCUCAUUUCUGUGCCAAAUGUUUGCCUUGGUCUUUGCGGACCUCCUUCCCCGACACGCUGGCGAGGCCGUCCGAGUGCAGAGCCUCCGCAGGCCCUGGUGCCUUCGCAGCCGCAGCCGGCGUUUCCGGCUUGCCCUCUGCAGGCAUCCAGCCAAGGGGAGCCGAGGUCCGGACAGCCCCGGUGCCCCGUCCUGAGCUGGUUUGUGCCCACAUUUGUUGCAGAGGCUGCGGGCCAGGCCCCUUCCGCCUGCCGAGAGCGGAGAGGGCAAGUCCCAGAUCUGAGCAGGGCAGGUGUGGGGAAGGGGCCCGUGGGCGACCCCGCCAGUGGCGCCUCCGCUACGCCCUUGGGAGCGCGGGCUUCUACCCUGACGAGAGCUGUCAGUGUCCCCAUCAGACAGCUCCCCCUGCGGGGCAUGCGGGAGCUUCCAGGGUUUCUGGGGGCUGGUACGUGUGUGUCUCGUGUGUACCGCCCAGAACAAGGCAAGGCUGCUCGUCGGCUGCGCCGUGUUCUCAGGGACACAGGAGAGGGACGUCCCCCGGUGUUGGCCUCUGCAGCCCCUGAUGGGCCGAGCGUGGGGUCCUGGGGAGGACCUGCGGUGGAUUCGCAGGGCUCGUGCCCGACCCGCGGCGGCCAGGGGCCCAUGAACCCGCUCGCUACAGUGUGUGCGCCUCCAGUGCUGCGCUGUCCCGCGGUGAAGUCGCCCUGCGUGUAUCUCAGUGUCCGAGACCGCGUAGCGUCUCGUCCGCCUUACCUGCCCGCGCAUAUUUGUACUUUCUGA